UCGUGGCAGGAGUGAUGCAUCAAUUAGAUGUGUGAAGUUCUCUUGUGAGCACAAAUUAUGAGGCUUAUUGAUAUUCUGACCUGCCAUUU